AUGAAAUAAAAAAAAAAAACAAAAACUCUCCUUUUCCCUCCCUCCCUUUCUACAUCCGACCAUGGAUUCCGGCCAAAAGCUCCGGCGCGUCACCAAUGUAGCGCCUUCGUGGGCGGUGGUCAUAGGCGCAAAAUAGGGCCUUUUCGGCUCCUUUUCAAAGCCGGUAGCUUCUAGGCCAUGUAUCUAAGGCCGAAUCUUGCGAAAGACGAACGAAAAGCGCAAAAACCGGAAGCAAAACCGUUCGGCCUCCCCUCCUCCGGCGCGACGUUGGAAGGAAGGUGACGCCGCAAGUGGGGGGAGGCCGACGUGAUGUUGGCAGUGACGGCGUGACGUUGGCGGCGGUGGCAGAAGGCCAAGAGUCAGCAUGUGCGGCGCUAGGGCUAGGGGCAGAAGGCUGCGGUGCUAGGGUUUCAGAACUGAAACCCUAGGCAGAUUUUUGGGAAAAAUGGCUAGGGUAUUGGGCCUCGGGUUUGGGCUUUGGGUAAAAUUGGGCUUUGAUGGGUUAGAGGCUAAUUGGGUGUAUUGGGUUUUGGGGUGUAUUGUUUGGGUUGUUUUGUAAUGGGUUUGGGAAGGGUUAAAAUUGGGCUUGUACACAAUACACCCAAACCUCAGCCCAAUUACAAACUUAGCCCAGCAGAGCCAACCCACCUAAACACUAACCCAACACCCAUGACCCAAACCUCAGCCCAAUAACCCACUUGGCCCAACAAGACCCAAACCCAGAAACUAAAGUCAAAUUAGGGUUUCAGAAAAGCUGAAACCCUAGCUCCUGGCCGUCGCACGUCUGUCGCAUCACCAGCAGCCACGAGCCACCGCCAUGCCCACUUGCCGCGUCAAUCACCUGCAAACAAUAAAGAAAGACAACAGCAACAGUAGCAAAGAUGGGAUUUUUUCUUUUUCUUUGCUUUCAGCUAUAAAGCCGAAUAUUGUAAAGGAAAUAGGGUUUUUUUUCUCUUUUAUUUUUCUUCUUUUCUUUCGGUUAAAGCUGAAUAGGCUGUAAAGAAGAACUUCUUCUUCUUUUAUGAACAUUAAUAAAGAAAAAAACAAAAACAAGUUUGAGAA